CUACGGGACGCACCAGUGAGGAAUAUUGCACAAUGGGGGGAACCCUGAUGCAGCAACGCCGCGUGGAGGAUGACGCAUUUCGGUGUGUAAACUCCUUUUAUAUGUCAAGAAAAUGACGGUAGCAUAUGAAUAAGCACCGGCUAACUCCGUGCCAGCAGCCGCGGUAAUACGGAGGGUGCAAGCGUUACUCGGAAUCACUGGGCGUAAAGGACGCGUAGGCGGGUUGGAAAGUCAGGUGUGAAAUCCUACAGCUUAACUGUAGAACUGCACUUGAAACUUCUAAUCUAGAGUAUGGGAGGGGAGAUGGAAUUAGUGGUGUAGGGGUAAAAUCCGUAGAUAUCACUAGGAAUACCUAAAGCGAAGACGAUCCCCUGGAACAUUACUGACGCUAAGGCGUGAAAGCGUGGGGAGCAAACAGGAUUAGAUACCCCCGUAGUC
rnacentral:rRNA from 1 species